rnacentral:rRNA from 1 species
GAGGUAGCCAACACUAUUUAUAUAUAUAUAUAUAUAUAUAUAUUUUAAUUGGGGUAGCCCCCAAAAUAUUGGGACAUAUAAAAAAAAACAACUCUGUUCCACAGAGUAGCUGUUGACAUUAUAGUUGCACAGGAACUUUUUUGACGCUAGAGAACCUCGGGCAAAUCGCACAUCCCCGUGGCGGCGACUUUUCAUGCGGAUAUCAUCCAUAUCAACUUUUGAUGCCAGUUUCUGCGCCUACCAUGGUGGCCACGGGUAACGGGGACUCAGGAUUCCAUUCUGUACAGGGACCCUGAGAAACGGCUACCACAUGCAAGGAAGGCAGCAGGCGCGCAAAUGACCCACUCCCGACGCGGGAAGGUAG